rnacentral:rRNA from 1 species
UCAAAUUUCUGCCCUAUCAACUUUCGAUGGUAGGAUAGUGGCCUACAUGGUCUUAACGGGUACGGGAAUUAGGGUUCUAUUCCGGAGAGGGAGCCUGAGAAACGGCUACCACAUCCAAGGAAGGCAGCAGGCGCGCAAAUUACCCAAUCCCAAUACGGGGAGGUAGUGACAAUAAAUAUAUACGGGGCUCUUUUGGGUCUCGUAAUUGAAAUGAGUACAAUCUAAAUCCCUUAACGAGGAACAAUUGGAGGGCAAGUCUGGUGCCAGCAGCCGCGGUAUUCCAGCUCCAAUACCCGUAUAUUAAAGUUGUUGCCGUUAAAAAGCUCGUAAGUUGAACUUUGGGUCUGGGCUGAUCUGUCCUCCUAAUCGAGGCGCACGGAUUCGGUCGGACCCUUUCCUUCUGGGGAGCCAUAUGCCCUUCACUGGGCGUAGUGGGGAACCAGGAAUUUUUACCUUGAAAAAAAUUAGAGUGU